ACGUUUUUCUGAAAAAACGUUGUGGAAGAGGUAAAGUAAGAUUAAAAGACGCGCGUUAUCAUUUUAUGAACACGUGUUCCACAGCAUUAUCCUCUAUUUCUCUUUCCGUCCCAUUUCUGUCUCUAUCGUUUUCUCUCUCCUUCCUAGAUCUAGGGUUUUCUCUGUCUCCUCAUGCUCCUUGAGAGAUUCACCUGGGUUGAUUCCAAUUACUUGUUCGGAUCUAACUCUAAAUCCAUCGAUUCUUACAUCGAUUUGGUUGAAAUUUCUUGACGGUUUUUUGUUUUUCUUGAUUCUAAUUUUGAUUUUGAUGAUUUUGCAGAGGAAGAUGGUUCGGUUGAGUUGCACAAAUUGGCGAGGUUACGAGACCGAGAAGUGAAGAAGGAUCAAGAUCCUCGGGAGAGUCCUUUUUGCCUCUAUUUUUAUACUCUCUGCAUGUGAAUUGGAAACAUGUGAUCACUACAAUUGUAUGCUAGACUUUAAUGGUUUCCCUGCUUUUCUAACUAUCCACGGUGUUUGGGCCUGUCCAAAUGCUUAAACUCUAUGGUGUUCCCUACAUGAUUUUUGUUAUGUGGUUGGACACCGUUACUUGCAUCACCAUGGCUAAGAAAAAAAGCUUCCUUGGUAUCGUGGAAAGUUUGAGGUAUUGUCUUCCUUUCAUCCUACUCCAGCAGUUUGUGGGUUUCGUACAAAAGAGGCACGUGUUCUAAUUGCAGAAACUGGUACAUGUAUAUUGCUAUAUCAUUUCU